CUAACCCACAGAAAUGCAAGAGGUCUCCUUGAGAAUCGUUAUCCCAUCAGACUUCCAGCCUUGUUUCCAGAGAGUAGAGGGCAGGCUGCCAUGCUUUGUCUCGAAACCGUUUGGGGAUUUCUUUCUGUAUCGGAGGCGGGUAGACUGAGCAUAGCAGAAGACCCACAUCUGGGAGAAGCCCUCACACAAAUGGAUGCUUCUUACUCUUGCAAUCUAACAGCAAGCAGUUAUUUCUAACACACUGUAUAUAAUAAACUUUUGUCAACUGUUUACAA